AAUUUUCCUUCUUGUUGAGUGAGAGGAAUGAGAUGCUAGUGUGAAAAUCAUAGAUCAGUAUUAUAAUCAGUUCACUUACAGCUAAUUGAUUUUUAGUUGUAAUACAAAAAACAAUUAAUAUAAUGUUACCCAAAAAUUAUAAUCUUAAUGGAUCAAAAAAUAAUUAUUAUGUUUUCAAAAUCUGUUUUAUAAUAAAGUAAUGAAACAAUGUGUU
rnacentral:lncRNA from 1 species